AAUCCACGCAGGGUCUGGAACGGAUCAGCUGGGAAUGCCUGUCAGGCCUGUCAGGCAGCCAGUGAGCUCCCUCCCUUCUCGCUGGCUUUCUUUGAGCACAGGGGCAGCAGCCAGGCACGCUUUCUGGCUGCAUUGUUUGCUGCUAGCGAGAGAGAUUGUGAGUGGGGAGCAGCAUGGCAGAACAAGAAGCCAGUGGCUUGAAAGUCCUUCUUUCCACCCUCCAGAGCUCCUGUGACAAGGAUGUCCUCCUGAACAUCCUCAGUGUCCUCACUGACCUGCUGUCUUUGGGGACUGGACGAAGAAUUCACUAUGUGAUCAGCAAAGGGGGUAGUGAGGCACUGCUGCAGGCCCUCAUCUCUGCUGCCCGGACCGAGCCACCCGACCCCAGCAUCCUCCUGCCUCUGCUUCGCCUCCUGGCCAGGGUUGGCCAACAAGACGGGAAGUUUGGGAUUAAAGUGCAGAAAGCGGAAGCAACUGAUGUAAUUCUGAGCUUGACGAGGCAAAACCUGGGUCACCACCUGAACCUCACCCACUGCCUCUGGGUCCUGCGGGUUUGUGCUUCUAAUGUUGCUGCAGGAACCACGCUUGGCAUCAAUGGAGCCAUGGAGCUGCUUUUCAAAGUCAUCACUCCCUACAGCAAGCAGCACAUCAGGACUGUAAGGGCAGCCAUUGAGGCUCUGGCAGCAUUGCUGAAAUCAAAAUCUAACAGCCGACAAGCAGUGAACAGAGGUUAUCUGGGUGGAUUGCUGAGGCUCUAUCAAGACUGGCAUCACAACGAUGUCUCCAACAACUACAUUUAUAUUCGUAGAGGUCUCCUGCUCUGCCUAAAGCACAUCACCAACAUCCAGCUGGGCAGGGAGACUUUCCUUGGUUCUCGAGGUAUGGAGAUUCUCUUCACAAGUGUGCAGGACUGUUUAUCUUGCAAGAAUCUGGAUCCAAUUGUAACCACUGUGACUCAGAUUCUACGGAAGUGCUACCCCAAGGAGCCUCUGCCUCUGGUGACAGUGAGAAGUUGCUAUUCCUUCCCUCUUCCUGGGAACAUCAAGACUGAAUGUCCAUGUAUGGGAUCUGAAGAUGAUAAUGAAAGUGAUAGUGAGGAAGACUCGGAAAAAGACCUGAAUAAAGAUGAUGUGGAGGGUAAAGAGGAAGAUUAUGAUUUGGAGACAGAUGUAAACAAAUUGAGGUCAAGGCCAGGGCUUGACCGGCCAGAGGAAGAGCUUGGGCAAUAUGAAGCUAUGUGUCCAGAACUUUCCCGUAAUUUUCAGGAGCUUGAUUCAGAGUCCGAAGAAGAGAAAAAGUCAGAAGACAGGACUGAGAAUCUUCCCUCCACUUCAUCUCAUUUCAUUCCAAGUGGUAAUUCUGUGAAAGAUCCAAACCAUAGAUGGAGGACCCAAAGUGACACACAGGCAGAAUCAGAUCCACGGGAGAAGGAUUUCAAAGCUUCACUGCAGAGUUCAAUAAAGAAGGAGAAAUGCUCAAGGAGUCUGCUCAGUGAAAAGAGAGAGAUUGCUGAAACAGUCCAAAAUGCAAAUUCCUAUGAAGAAGAGCCAGCCAAGAGUCAUACAUUUUCUCCAUGUCCCCUCCCCAAAGAAGCUGCUUGGUACAAAAAAAUAUUUAACCCUGAGUGUGAGGCUUCAAUUGAUCCAACUUCUGGAGUCAGAUCAGAGACCGCAGAAAUAAUGACAGACCUUCUGGAGGAACACCAAGGGAAUAUUCCAUUCCACAGCCCUCACUUCUACGUAGCCAGGGCCAAAUGUACCAAGUCCAUACCAGCCUACAGAGACUUGGCAUUCCCUGAUUUCUGGGGCCACCAGCCUCCUGCUUAUGGCACGCCCAUGCUGGAUCGGCAGUAUGGAGUUCAAAGGGACAAAGUACUUGAUGAUGUUCGUCGCUUAAUCCAGCCUGGUGAUUUGAUUGGAAGAACUGUUUUUGAUUUAGAUGAGCCCAGUCACUCAAGCCCAGGUGCUCCAAGCUGUCUGACAUUCUUCUCCAAGUUUGAAUCGGGUAACCUUCGCAAAGCCAUCCAAGUGCGUGAGUUUGAGUAUGAUUUAAUUAUGAAUGCAGAUGUGAACACCAACCAGCAUCACCAGUGGUUCUACUUUCAAGUCCGUGGCAUGAAAUCAGCAGUUCCCUAUCGCUUCAACGUUAUCAACUGUGAGAAGCUCAAUAGCCAGUUUAAUUACGGCAUGCAGCUGGUUCUGUAUUCGGUGAAGGAAGCUCUCCAGGGCAGGCCUCGCUGGCUUCGAGCAGGACAUGAUAUCAGCUACUACAAAAACCACUACCGCUGCAGUGCAGCUCCAGGAGGAGGCUCAAGAGGAAAAUGCUAUUACACUCUCACCUUCAGCAUCAAGUUCCCUCACGAAGAUGAUGUCUGCUAUCUGGCCUACCAUUACCCCUACACGUACUCCGCAAUGAUGUCCCAUCUUGAUGUCCUGGAGCAAAGCAGGAACCCCAAGAAGGUCUACUGGAGGCAACAAGCGCUUUGCCAGACACUAGGAGGAAAUACAUGCCCAUUGCUCACAAUCACUGCUAUGCCAGAAUCUAAAACAAGUGACGACUUGGAACAAUUCUACAGUCGUCCUUAUGUCUUUCUGAUGGCCCGUGUUCACCCCGGUGAAAGCAACGCCAGCUGGGUAAUGAAGGGGACCCUGGAGUUCCUUGUGAGCAGUGAUCCCAUUGCUGAUCUCCUGAGGAAAUGUUUCAUUUUCAAGAUUGUCCCCAUGCUCAACCCUGAUGGAGUCAUCAAUGGCAACCACCGUUGUUCCUUGAGUGGAGAUGAUCUGAACAGACAGUGGCUGACACCCAGUUCUCAGCUUCAUCCAACAAUUUACCACACCAAAGGUCUUCUGUAUUAUCUGCGCAGCAUCGGCCGGGCCCCUCUGGUAUUCUGUGACUACCAUGGCCACUCCCAGAAAAAGAAUGUGUUCCUCUAUGGUUGCAGCAUCAAGGAGACUUUGUGGCAAGCAGGCUGCACGGUUGACACAGCAGUUAUCACAGAAGAUGUUGGCUACAGGACUCUUCCUAAAAUCCUGGACAAAGUGGCCCCUGCGUUUGUCAUGAACAGCUGCAGCUUCCUUGUAGAAAAGUCCCGCAAGUCGACGGCCCGGGUGGUGGUGUGGCAGGAAAUGGGUGUGCUGAGGAGCUACACCAUGGAGAGCACGUACUGCGGCUGCAGCCACGGCCUCUACAAAGGCUUGCAACUGGGAACUCAAGAGCUGGAGGAGAUGGGAAGCAAGUUUUGCCUUGCUCUGCUCAUUCUGCACCUCAAAUCCUUGCCCUGCAGCAAGAAGGUGAUGGCUCAGGCAGCACUACUCCUAGAUCUGGAGGAAGAAAUAACAAUAACAGACCGGGCACAAAGGUGCAGCCCAGACAACACUGAAACCCUGGAAAUCUGCUGGCAGUGACUAAUGUUCAUCUCCUUCCCCCUCUGUGCUGUGGUCCUGUUUACCCAAGGUGCAGAUGAUUACCUGGUUUUACCUACAGUACUCAAGCAAAAUGAUUCUGCACUUUGGAAGGACACCUGGCUGCUCACCUCAGCACAUCCUGAUGCUGCUGCUUAUCAGGAAAAAAAAAACCAGCUCAAUUCUGCCAAGGCUUCCAUCGCAGACAUGAAGAAAUCUGGAAAGCCACCUCCACGCCCUGAUGUAGCACUACAGCAGAGCCCUGGAGUGGCAGCUGUGAAAUGCAGAACAGCCAGACAAAGCUGGUAACAUGUUUGUACAGCCCGGGGUGUCAGGAGGAAUCAGCUCCACGGAGCAGACAAGGAGACCGAGAAGUGAAGUUUUAGGUUCUCUCCUUGGUUUGCUACAUUGCAAAGCAAGCUGUCCUCAAGUCCUCUGGGAAGUCUCUGCACAACAAUUAUCCCUCUCUUCGAGUCUGAAACGGAAUUACUGCACAGGAAUCUGGCGAGGUUCAGAGAAACACUGAAAGGUUCUCGCAUUAGAGACUUCAAAGUGUGACCCUGUGAAUGCCAGAGGCCAGCUAGCACCUUCCUCCAGAAGCACGGUGGGGCACAACGCUGUGCUUGGGAAGAUGCUUUCCUUUGAAAUAAGGCUGAGCUACAAGGAAAACUGCCUGCAGAAGAGCUUUGCUGAAUUUAAGUGCGCAGAGCUCUGGGGCAGAUGAUGGAGUGGUGUUCUCACCCUGGCCUGGAGAGGAACCUGUCUGUGAAGAGCACUAGAGACAAUUUCUCUAUUACAUAACCCGGCCUCAACUCCACUGAAGCUGUUAACAAAGGGCUAACAGCACGGUUUUGUGAUGUGAUUCCUUUCCAAUUGCGGCUGGAUCCAGAGAAGGUGUUUUAAAGCUGCUGCACAGAGGUACUGAUCUUGCUGUACAUGGAGGAGUCCCCUGGUGUAACGCCAUCUCUCUGUUACUGUCUGUGAUGAACUCGUAAAACAAGGUGUGUUUGGAGGGUACAUGGUGACACUUAACACUUGUACAUUCUUGCUUCUCUUCUGUGGGAUUAGAUCUGCUAUGAGCAUGCAGAGCUGGACAGGCUGCAAGCUUAGGGCCUUUCCUGCUCCAGCUGAAUUACACUGAUGAUUUCUCAUUAAUUCUCAACUCAGGGCUUACAGAUUUUGUCACCAUACGAGAAGCAGGGUCACAGACACAUGGUAUCAAACACAGGCUCCUUCCUCACCUGCUGACCAGAAGGACUCAGCAAUAGUUUAGAACUAAGUUGAACUGAGUGCAGUAGAAGAAUAAAAUUUGUUCCCACAGAAAUGCGAGUGUUUUUUCCCAAAAGCACGGAACAUAAUUAAUGGACGUGACUUCUGCACCAAAAAAAGUCAUAUUGACCUAGGAGGGGAAAAUUCUCCUUCCCAUGAUCUCCACUUUCUCAAGACUGACUCAAUCAUCUCUGUUCAAGAGGAUGAAGAGAAGAAUUUGGUGAUAUAUGGAAAUGGCUGAGUCACGGCCUGAACUACUGAUUGAGCACCUGGGGAAAGGACCCGGUCAGCUCUGGAAGCACAGGUGAAGGCAAUUCAGCUGUGUGAUCAGAAGGGGUGGAGCCUGGUUGCACCUCUCUUAGACCUCAUUGAAGUGCUGACCCCCACUGCAGAAGGAUCUCUGGUUGGAGAUCUCCUCCUUGUGCUUUUUCCCUGCGACCAUAGAGAGAUGUUGAAAGCUUCUGGAUGACAGAGCAGGAGAAGCCCUUAUGUUGCAAGGACUCGGUGACCACAAGGGGACCAAAGAUCUCUUCUAGCAAAAACAACAACAACAAAAAAGCCCAAAUUCAGGAGGCAGAAUCCACUGAAGAUGCUGGAAAGCUGCAUAGCUGAAACUGUGAAUGAAAGAGAAGACUGUUUACCAGGCAAUAGGGAAACUCCCAGCACAUGUUCUCAGAAUCACCUGUCUGCAAUUCAGCACCCCAUGGACACAGGCGCAGGCUUGAGAUGAGGCAGUGCAGGCUCUUUUCUGACCCCACAAUGUAUGCAUCAGGGGACAUUUAGAGGACCAAAUGGUAAGUUUUGAGGGAGACAGGAUGGGCUUCUAGUCUGGCAGAUCGUUGCAUGUCUUCCCUUAGCUAUGCUUUAGCUUUUGUCUCUCAACCUGAUAGAUUACGGUGGAAGGAAAACUGUUUUGAAGAAACGAGACAGGUCACAGAUGAGCCCCUAAGACUGGAGACACAUGCACUGCCCACUGUUUGCAGCCCUGGCAUGAGAUUGCCAUCUGUACCAUAUAGCACCUUAACCACCAAGAAGGCAUUGUGUCAGUGAUACCCAUAGAUGACAGAGUUGGUGCUUGAAAGCAGGAUGCUGCUGGGCUGGGGAAGACUCCGUGGCCCCUUCUUAGCAGUGCCCAAACAAACACUGCUCCCAUCUCCUUUUCAACAACCCCCUCCAGAAAGUUGCUGGCAAUAAGGUCUGGUUUGCCCUGGACCUGGGUGAGACCUGUAUGUGUUACCAGCUCUCCCCUCGUGGCAGACAAGGUUGUAGGAAGUAUCUCUCUUCAAAAUGGAGACUGUGAACUCAUUUCUCUUUGCCUCCACAUACUUCCCACACUUAGAUUGUGGCAUUCGGUGAGGGUUUCCCUCCAAAUCUGCUCUUCUUCCUCCCUCCACUUGCAGUGGAGCAGUGGCAGAGCCCCCACAGGAGCCCCUCUUCCUGCAGGAAAGGUACUGUCAUCCAUGCUGAUCAGCAGCUCCACUUUUGCUCCAGGGAAAGUCCUUCUUGAAAUGAGGUCUCAAGGUUCACCAGGAACUCAGCACGGACGCUUUCCCUCUUCCCAUCCAAAAUUGUCAGACCAAAAAGGGAUGCAGCAGUUUCAGUCAUGUCUCCAAAACAAAAACGAGCCUUCCCUCCCUCCCCACCAAUAAACCUCCAUCCAGCAGCACCAGCCCACUGGGCAUAACGCAGCAGCUGCUGGGAGCCAGCUCUGCAGCACUUCUUAUUCUACUCUUCUAAGCAAUUGUUCCCGAUUAGCUCUGACAAAAAGACCUUUUGUCAAAGCAGUCAUUGCACUUGGUGGGGCUAGGUAAAGCAGUCAGACAGCCUGAACCUUGGUCUCAGCCAUUUCACAUCUUCUGGUGGCCCAUCUCCUUGCCUCUCAUUGACCAUUUAUUCCUAACCACGUUGCACCAAAUCCAGGUGUGAUGCUCGGCUCCUGAGCUCACCUCGAUGUCAGGACAGUACAAAGAGCUGGCAAAGGGACGUGUAGUGGUGUUGAGGAGGACACAAGGAGGAAAGGAGGAGGGAAAGGAGAAUAUAGCUGUUGUGCAGAAUAGUUAUAAGGGAAUAAGCAUUGACUAUGGAAACACAGUGACUGUAGGUAAUCUGCCUGUGUAAAGGCCAGCGAAAUUGGCUGAAAGAGAAAUGAGAGCAUAAGAGCAAGAGGGGAGGGUGGACAAAACAGUGGUUUUGCACAAUCUGGCACUGUGCCUGAGAGCCACAAGAGCAAGAGACCAUUUGGGGUAUGGGGCAGGCAGCCCCAGAGAAGAGCUUUCUUUUGGAGGCACUGGGCUAGUACCACCAUCACGUAUUUUUCCCUGGAUAGUCUCCAGUCCUUUUAGCCAAAGCAGCCUACACACAAAAAGAGCCAUUUCAGAUCUGGCAACUUUUCGACUAAUCUUUCUCACUUCAAAGAUGAACCUAAGUUGUAGAUGAGGAAAACUAGAUAUCCUCUCCCAACAGAGCGAGUACCUGCUACGGAGGGGUGGCAUGGCACCUUGUUUGUGUGUGUGGACUGCCAUUUCACACCCUGACCCUGACCCUGACCAUACCACCUUUGGUGCCCAUGCUGUGAGCUGCUGGUGUCUGUCCAGUGGCAGUCUGUCCAGCCUCUGCUGCAUGAGACUGGCUCUCUGUGAUUUAACAGAAAGGGGAAGGUUGCACGUUUUUACUGCCACCCAUCCUCUCUCACUCUGAGCUUGAGGUGCUCUUUGCACAAGCACAGUCUAAACCCACAGCCUCCACAAACCCUGUAGCAGCGUCCCCUGCCCCACUUGAAACCUUAAGCGAGGUCAUGCCAGAGCCAGGGGUAGGAGGUAGAGAUUGGCAGGAGACAGAGAGGUUGAGGAGGGAUGCAAAAUCUUCCCUUUCAGUAGCCAGCUGUAAUAAGGUCUCAGGCUCACGCAUCUUCUCUUGCAUCCUGGCCCUGAACACUGCUCUGGCCAUGGGGAAGGAGUCAAGAUCCCAUCUCCAUCGCCUCCUCCCCUGUCUGCAUUCCCUUUCAGAUGAGAACCACAUUGGAGCAGGUUAUUUUUGUGCUGGCAAUUGUCGCCUUCUCAAUUGCCUUCACGGUGCCUGUGGCGCCUGCUCACUGCCUCCUGAGAGCAUCUGCCAGGCUGAGGUUCCCCCUCAGCCUCCACUAUUUAGAGGAAAAAAACAACCCAAGGAAGGUUUUGUUUUCUCAGCCCGGCCUGGAUGGGCAAGAUUCAUUUCUGACUCAGUCUUUCCCCGGGUCAGGAUAAUAUCCUGCAUGAAGAAGAUGGGUUUUAGGGAGGAUGCUUCAGCCUCUCCAUGGCUGUCCCCAGCACCCCCUGUCGCUGCCUGUCAGGCCUUUAUCCUCAUUGAGAUGCAAGGCUGGCUGCUGCAGCCAUCCGCUGAGCUGUCUGCUCCUGGAGGCACCUUCCCCUCAUUCCCCUCCUCCUCCCGGGGCUGCCUGUGGAGCUAUUCUUCAGCCUCUGCAUUUCACAACAGCUCAAAGGCAGAUGCAUCAAUCCUUUCAGGGGAUGGGGACGUGAGGAGAAUUGCAAGGGGUCUGCAGGCAGGUGUUGGGAGGUUCCCAGCCAUCUCGCUAGCCUUGUCCCCUUCCCUGGCCUCAAGCUGGCUUGUGCCUAAGGCUUGGACUAAGGCAUGGGGCAGGGAUGGGGAAGGGAAGAGGAUGAGGAGGGAGGGCACUGGGAUAUGCUGACCCCAAAGGCGUGCCCAGCUGUGAUGCGGGCACUCUUCCAGCUACAUGCUGCAGCCUUCCCUCAAACAGGGAACAGGGGAUGCAACCCUAUCUGCUGAGGGUUUGCACUAAUUUGGCUGUGGCUUGGUAACAAUCCCAUGGCCCCACAAAAAUGAAGGGUGGGGAGAAAAGGCAGGGAUGGGGGGUUAAGGGGUUCCUCCCAACUUCACCAUCUCCACUGGGCAGUGAGACGAACGGCACUCCUGUCUUGCAUGCCACAAUGGGUUGGGAUGAAUCAGGAAUGGGUCUCCAGGACCCCCCUCAGCAGGGGGGAGGGGUUCAGUUCCACUGUAGAGGGAGGAGGGAGGGCUGGGCCCAUCCGAUGCGCUGGCUGCGGGUGGGCAGCUGGUUCCCGGUGUGUUAUACCCGUAGGUGCCACAAUCCUUUGACUGUGUGUUUGAAAGCCUUGAGUCUAUACAGUUAAGAAUCAGCAAAUUAGAAAAAUUGUCCUGAAAUGUCGAAGGGGAAGAAAAAGGCAGAGAGGGACAGGGAAGGAUGGAGAGGGAAGAAAAGUCUGGUAAAAGAGAAUUUGUUCAGGGGCACUGCCCUGUCUUUGUGCCCAUCACCUGUGGGCUGGGAAGAAGGAAGGGAGGCAAGGACAAGAAGGGAGGACUGAUUUCACACAUUCAGUGCAUAUCAUAUCAUACAACCGGGGCAGGGCUUUCCUCCCAGAGCACCAACUCAGGCUAACACUGCUGCCAUAGCCAGACUCGAGCCCUGCCCAGCAGCCCGAGCCAUACUCACAGCAGGAUGACAACUCACUGCUUCAUUGCUCGGGG